AGCUUUUUGCAGUGGCAAUAUCAUAGCCACUGAGGUUUAUCCAAGGCACAGUUAUUGCUAAUUGAAAACUUUCCCCAGUACUCCACAAUGACAACUUACAACAUAGUCGGCACUGGCAAUUAUUGGCAAUCUCUAUGGAGA
ensembl:snRNA U4 U4 spliceosomal RNA